UACGAAGGGGGCUAGCGUUGCUCGGAAUCACUGGGCGUAAAGGGUGCGUAGGCGGGUCUUUAAGUCCGGGGUGAAAUCCUGGAGCUCAACUCCAGAACUGCCUUUGAUACUGAGGAUCUUGAGUUCGGGAGAGGUGAGUGGAACUGCGAGUGUAGAGGUGAAAUUCGUAGAUAUUCGCAAGAACACCAGUGGCGAAGGCGGCUCACUGGCCCGAUACUGACGCUGAGGCGCGAAAGCGUGGGGAGCAAACAGG
rnacentral:rRNA from 1 species